AGGACGAACGCUGGCGGCGUGCUUAACACAUGCAAGUGGAGCGACGAACCAGGGCUUGCCCUGGGGCAGAGCCGCGAACGGGUGAGUAACACGUGGGUUACCUGCCUCGAUGACCGGGACAACCCGAGGAAACUCGGGCUAAUACCGGAUGUGCCCGCAAGGGGAAAGGAAGCUUCGGCCUCCGCAUCGAGAUGGGCCCGCGGCCCAUUAGCUUGUUGGUGAGGUAACGGCUCACCAAGGCUUCGAUGGGUAGCUGGUCUGAGAGGACGAUCAGCCACACUGGGACUGAGACACGGCCCAGACUCCUACGGGAGGCAGCAGUGGGGAAUCUUGCGCAAUGCGCGAAAGCGUGACGCAGCAACGCCGCGUGGGGGAAGAAGGCUUUCGGGUUGUAAACCCCUUUCAGUUGGGACGAAGCUUCGCCGGUGAAUAGCCGGCUGGAGUGACGGUACCUUCACAAGAAGCACCGGCUAACUACGUGCCAGCAGCCGC
rnacentral:rRNA from 1 species